GGAGGUGUAGCUCAGUGGCAGAGCCCUUGCUUGGCAUGCAGAAGGGCCCAGGUUCGAUCCCAGGCAUCUCCA